UGCCAAAUAUGCAGAUGAUCGCUACUCCGUAGCUUUAGCGAAGGAGUAGAGGAAAGUCCGGACACUGAAAGCGGUAGUGGGUAACGCCCACCGGCUUAAUAGCAAUAUUAAGUCAGGACCAGUACCACAGAGACAAUACUACCCCGCUUCGCGGGGGAAAGGUGAAAAGUGUUUUGAGGUUUUUGUUCUCGAGACAAAAGCGACAAAACUCAGCUCCUGGCAACAGGAAGCUUGUGGCAAACUCUACCUGGUGCAAGGACAAACUUAUUUCUGGCAAUGCUGGAAAUAAUGACAAGUAGUCCGCAUGAGCUUAGCAGUAAUGUUAAGCCUAGAUAGAUGAUCAUCACCCGACUCAGGUCGAGGCACAAAAUCCGGCUUACAUAUUUGGCAUUUA
rnacentral:RNase_P_RNA from 1 species